rnacentral:rRNA from 1 species
GAGUCAAGCUACUAAGGGCACAUGGGGGAUGCCUUGGCGCCAGAAGCCGAAGAAGGGCGUAGUAAGACUGCGAUAAGCCACGAUUAGCUGCCUAACAAGCUUAGCCGUGGAUGCCCGAAUGGGGGAACCCAUCUACUUCGGUAGUUGCCUUAGUCGUGAGACUUUGGCGGUAAGCGGGGGAACUGAAACAUCUAAGUACCCCGAGGAAAGGAAAUCAACCGAGACUCCCCUAGUAGCGGCGAGCGAACGGGGACUAGCCCAAACCACAAGAGCCUAACGGACUGGAGUCUUAUGCCUUUGUGGUGUUGUAGGGCCGGGCCCGAGAAAUCUCCAGAUUUCUCAAAGAGUUAUAAAACGUACAUUUAGUCGAACAGUCCUGGAACGGCUGGCCGCAGUGGGUGAAAGCCCCGUAGACGAAAAGUGUGCGACUCUUAGCCCGGUUCCUGAGUACGACGGGACACGUGAAAUCUUGUCGGAAUCUGGGGGGACCACCCUCCAAGGCUGAGUACUUCUGGCGACCGAUAGUGAACAAGUACCGUGAGGGAAAGGUGAAAAGCACCCCGUGAGGGGAGUGAAACAGAACUGAAACCAUGUGCCUACAAACCGUAGGAGUCCUGAAUUUAUUCGGGAUGACUGCGUGCCUAUUGAAGAAUGAGCCAAUGAGUUACGUUGCGUGGCAGGUUAAGGCGUGAUGCGCCGGAGCCGUAGCGAAAGCGAGUCUGAAUAGGGCGUUCAGUCGCGUGGCGUAGACCCGAAACCGUGUGAGCUACCCUUGGCCAGGUUGAAGCGAAAGUAAUAUUUCGUGGAGGACCGAACCCUUGUAAGUUACAAAUUGCUGGGAUGAGCUGAGGGUAGGGGUAAAAUGCCAAUCGAACACGGAGAUAGCUGGUUCUCCCCGAAAUGCAUUUAGGUGCAGCGUCAAGUUUUACUUUGCGGAGGUAGAUCACUGGAUGGGCCAGGGGGCGUGAGCUUACCAACCCCAACCAAAAUCCGAAUACCGUAAAGGGUAUCUUGGCAGUGAGACAGUGAAGGAUAAGCUCCAUUGUCGAAAGGGAAACAGCCCAGAUCGCAAUCUAAGGUCCCGAAGUGUGUGCUAAGUGUGAAACGAAGUGGGAACGCCCAGACAGCCAGGAGGUUGGCUUAGAAGCAGCCAUCCUUUAAAGAGUUCGUAAUAGAUCACUGGUCAAGGGUUUCUGCACGGAAAAUAAACGGGGCUUAAGCACACCACCGAAGCUGCGGAUUCAUCACGAUUUAUCGAGAUGAGUGGUAGGGGAGCGUUCUUAGUGCAUCGAAGUUAGGUCGUAAGGCCUGGUGGAGCGCUGAGAAGUGAGUAUGUUGGCAUAAGUAGCGACAAUGUCGGUGAGAAUCCGACACGCCGAAAGUCU